rnacentral:tRNA from 4 species
GGGGCGGUAGCUCAGUUGGUUAGAGCCCGGAACUCAUAAUUCCGUCGUCGUCGGUUCGAGCCCGACCCGCCCCACCA